GGUGAGAUGGCUGAGCAGUCUAAGGCACCAGACUAAGGACCAAUGUGUUUGAUGCGUACCUUCAAUCUGGUCAUUUGUGGCAUGGGUUUGAAUCCCACUCUCAUCA